rnacentral:rRNA from 1 species
AGAGCUCAAGGCUCCCAACGGCUAGUUGACAAUCGUUUACGGCGUGGACUACCAGGGUAUCUAAAUCCUGUUUGCUCCCCACGCUUUCGCACCUCAGUGUCAGUAUCAGUCCAGGUGGUCGCCUUCGCCACUGGUGUUCCUUCCUAUAUCUACGCAUUUCACCGCUACACAGGAAAUUCCACCACCCUCUACCAUACUCUAGCUCGACAGUUUUGAAUGCAGUUCCCAGGUUGAGCCCGGGGAUUUCACAUCCAACUUAACGAACCACCUACGSGCGCUUUACGCCCAGUAAUUCCGAUUAACGCUUGCACCCUCUGUAUUACCGCGGCUGCUGGCACAGAGUUAGCCGGUGCUUAUUCUGUCGGUAACGUCAAAACAGCAAAGUAUUAAUUUACUGCCCUUCCUCCCAACUUAAAGUGCUUUACAAUCCGAAGACCUUCUUCACAMACGCGGCAUGGCUGGAUCAGGCUUUCGCCCAUUGUCCAAUAUUCCCCACUGCUGCCUCCCGUAGAGUUCUGGACCGUGUCUCAGUUCCAGUGUGACUKAUCAUCCUCUCAGACCAGUUACGGAUCGUCGCCUUGGUGAGCCAUUACCUCACCAACUAGCUAAUCCGACCUAGGCUCAUCUGAUAGCGCAAGGCCCGAAGGUCCCCUGCUUUCUCCCGUAGAACGUAUGCGGUAUUAGCGUUCCUUUCGAAACGUUGUCCCCCACUACCAGGCAGAUUCCUAGGCAUUACUCACCCGUCCGCCGCU